AAUCUUAUCGUAGUCCACUCGAAGUCGCCUCCCAUUUCGCGGGUCACCGGCUCGCCGCUGCGUCAAGCGAGCGCUUCCCCCCAGAUCUCGACUUCUCGAGCCUGUCCUCCGCCCCCCACAGGCUCUGCUGGAUCCAGAACCUUCUAGAACCCCUGCACUGCGCGGUGCGCGCCAUCCUCCUCCUUCCUUCCAUCCAGAUCUCGACACCCCUCGCCGGCCCAGACCUCCGGUCCUGUCGUGGCCCCGGGGUUCGGGCGGCUGCCAAAGAAUCAGUGGCCAUGGGAUCUGCUAUCCUCAACAGCAUUGCCCCCGAGGAGCCUAAAGUGGUCGUGCCAGAGUACGGUGAGACGGCUGAUAUCCAGGACAAGGAAGUUAGUAUGGAACAGCUCUGCUCCAUAAGCACCUAUGAUCAGUGGACGCCACUCUCUGUUUCUGGCCAGCUUCCCAAACCACGCUAUAAGCAUGGAGCUGUGGUGAUUCAGCAGAAGAUGUAUGUCUUUGGUGGAAACCACAAUGGCCGUUACCUUGGCGACAUUCAGGUUUUGGACUUCAAAACUUUGUCAUGGUCAAAGCUGGAAGCUAAAUCACAAGCAGAACCAUCAGAAUCAGCUGGAGCAGUUCCGUUUUCUGCAUGUGCUGGCCAUUCAGUGAUUCAAUGGGGAAAUAAGAUCCUAUGUCUUGCAGGACAUACCAGAGAACCUGCAGAAAGUCUCAGUGUUAAGGAGUUUGAUCCACAAACCUGCACUUGGUCUACCUUGCGUACUUAUGGAAGGUCACCUAGUUCACGUGGUGGUCAGUCAGUGACCCUUGUUGGAGACACUCUAGUGGUCUUUGGCGGUGAAGGUCAUGGGAGAUCUCUUCUGAAUGAUCUGCACAUUCUUGAUCUUGAGACCAUGACUUGGGAUGAAUUUGAGACCACAGGCACUCCCCCUUCCCCAAGGUCAGAGCAUGCUGCUGCUUGCUUUGCAGAGCGGUAUCUUCUGAUAUUUGGCGGGGGUUCUCAUUCUACAUGUUUCAGUGACCUACACCUCCUUGACACUCAGACAAUGGAAUGGUCAAGACCAAAGCAACAAGGUGUUACUCCAGAAUCAAGAGCAGGACAUGCAGGUGUAACUAUUGGAGAAUAUUGGUUUAUUACUGGUGGUGGAAAUAGUAGGAAAGGUGUCUCAGAUACUCUUGUACUCAACCUGUCUACGUAUGAAUGGUCAGUUCUCACUAAUCUUGAGGCCCGUGCACCCCCUGUAAGUGAGGGCUCAAGUUUAGUAAUGCACACAAUUAAUGGAGAAAAUUUUCUGGUGUCAUUUGGAGGAUAUAGUGGCCGUUAUAGUAAUCAGGCUUAUGCUCUCAAGGCAAGUCUCAAACCAAGUGUCCCAUCUCAACAAAUAAAUGAAUCAGAUACAAAUGGCUUUUCUCCCUUAUCUGUGGCAGAAAAUUCUAGCAGGAAAGUCAUAUUUGAAAUUGAGGAACUUAAAGAUGAAAAGCCUGGCAAUAGGGCAGAUAACAGCAAAACCUUGGGACAAGUAGUUAUGGUUGAACAAAACGAAAUAGAAAACAGACUUAAUCAAGAGCACUUGCAGAGUCUCCGCCUGAAGCAGGAACUAACUGGUCUUGAGAACAGAAAUGCAGAACUUACUGAGGAACUCCACUUAGUUCAAGAUCAACUUUCUAUCGAACAAACCAGGGCUUCCAAAUUUGAGGGGAGAGCGAGCAGCAGAUUUAGCCUUAGCAGGCCAAACAAGCUCAUCGACUUGUAAUUUUUUCGGCUUUUUAGGGGCUGAAAGGCAUUCGACCUCAUGCGCGGGUGAUGGCAUGCUGCGACCAUAGUGCGCUGCAAGUGGGGUGGAGCAUGAAGAUUGUGUCUGACGCGUAGUGCCCUGGUCUGCGUAUGCACACCCGGACGGUCUGAUCUUGGUGAUCGAACAGCCCGCAGAGGGACCGGACGGUCUGGUAUUAUAUCCGGACCGUCCAGUUGUGCUGGGCUUUGCCUGCGACCCUUGUGGCGGACUCGGUGUGACUCCGAACUGUCCGGCGUAUGGUGUUGGACGGUUCGUUGAAGGGCCGGACGAUCUGUGAUCGUGCGCGGACUGUCCGAUCGUGCCCAAAGCCGAUCUACUGUGCAGUGAGGAUGUUGACAACAUUUGCCCCGGAUAUGAGUUCAUCGGCAUGCCGAAAUAUGGCUGGGACCGAGAAGCCCCAUUUGUCGCUGAUGUAUUUGACACAGUUAUUUUAGUGCAGUGGGGAGCUGCCGCAGCAAGGCUAAUAGGGAAUCGUGCUUUAUUUCCCUCUCUUUGACGACCUUCUGGUGGCGAUCUAUCCUGAAUUUUGAGAGAAUGAAAUUUCAGAUAUUCAACAACGACUACAGAAGAUGGAUACCCUAGAAAAGGAGAUUGAAUCACUUCGCUAUGAACUGGACAGCACUGUAUCCGAAGAAGAAUCUUCAAGUGGCAACGAGUUGCACCGCAGUCGGGGCUUUUGGAGGUGGAAUGGGUGAACUCCUCGAGACUCAAGGAGUGAGUAUUGAAGAGAAUACUCUUCCAAAUAGUUGUCAUUAUUUUAAUUUUUAUGUCUUUCACAAAAAUAUAUGAAUUCGUGGAUGGUACUAGUUCGGAAGCAUAUAGAGGAUCUAAGCAAACUGCAGCAACAUCAACUGUGAAAAGCAUCUUACAGAAAGUAAAACGAGUAUCAUGUGGCCCAGAAUUUCCUAUGUUAGAAUAGUUUCUUAUCUGAUAAUGACACCGACAAUGAUCACCAUAACGAAUUAUUUUUUUUCAUACA